CCUACGGGCGGCUGCAGUGGGGAAUAUUGGACAAUGGGGGGAACCCUGAUCCAGCCAUGCCGCGUGUGUGAAGAAGGCCCUCGGGUUGUAAAGCACUUUCAGUGAGGAAGAACGCCUGGUGGUUAAUACCCAUCAGGAAAGACGUCACUCACAGAAGAAGCACCGGCUAACUCCGUGCCAGCAGCCGCGGUAAUACGGAGGGUGCGAGCGUUAAUCGGAAUUACUGGGCGUAAAGCGCGCGUAGGUGGCUUGAUAAGCCGGUUGUGAAAGCCCCGGGCUCAACCUGGGAACGGCAUCCGGAACUGUCAAGCUAGAGUGCAGGAGAGGAAGGUAGAAUUCCCGGUGUAGCGGUGAAAUGCGUAGAGAUCGGGAGGAAUACCAGUGGCGAAGGCGGCCUUCUGGACUGACACUGACACUGAGGUGCGAAAGCGUGGGUAGCAAACAGGAUUAGAUACCCCAGUAGUC
rnacentral:rRNA from 1 species